CCUACGGGUGACAGCAGUGGGGAAUAUUGCACAAUGGGGGAAACCCUGAUGCAGCGACGCCGCGUGAGUGAAGAAGUAUUUCGGUAUGUAAAGCUCUAUCAGCAGGGAAGAAAAUGACGGUACCUGAUUAAGAAGCCCGGGCUAACUACGUGCCAGCAGCCGCGGUAAUACGUAGGGGGCAAGCGUUAUCCGGAUUUACUGGGUGUAAAGGGAGCGUAGACGGCAGCACAAGGCUGGUGGGAAAUGCCGGGGCUUAACCCCCGAACUGCUGUGGAAACUGUGCAGCUGGAGUGCAGGAGAGGUAAGUGGAAUGCGUGGUGUAGCGGUGAAAUGCGUAGAUAUUAGGAGGAACACCAGUGGCGAAGGCGGCUUACUGGACUGUAACUGACGUUGAGGCUCGAAAGCGUGGGGAGCAAACAGGAUUAGAUACCCGGGUAGUC
rnacentral:rRNA from 1 species